GGGGAAUUUUGCGCAAUGGGGGAAACCCUGACGCAGCGACGCCGCGUGGAGGAUGACGGCCUUCGGGUUGUAAACUCCUGUCAGAGGGGACGAAAUCCCGCAAGGGACUGACGGUACCCUCAGAGGAAGCCCCGGCUAACUACGUGCCAGCAGCCGCGGUAAUACGUAGGGGGCAAGCGUUACUCGGAAUUACUGGGCGUAAAGGGUGAGUAGGCGGCUGGGCAAGUCAAGGAUGAAAUCCCGAGGCUCAACUUCGGAACCGUCCUUGAAACUGCUCAGCUUGAGGGUAGUUGAGGAGAGCGGAAUUCCCGGUGGAGCGGUGAAAUGCGUAGAUAUCGGGAGGAACACCUGAGGCGAAGGCGGCUCUCUAAGCUACUCCUGACGCUGAAUCACGAAAGCUAGGGGAGCAAACGG
rnacentral:rRNA from 1 species